GAUGAACGCUGGCGGCGCGCCUAACACAUGCAAGUCGAACGGCACCCCUCCUCGGAGGGAAGCGAGUGGCGAACGGCUGAGUAACACGUGGAGAACCUGCCCCCUCCCCCGGGAUAGCCGCCCGAAAGGACGGGUAAUACCGGAUACCCCGGGGUGCCGCAUGGCACCCCGGCUAAAGCCCCGACGGGAGGGGAUGGCUCCGCGGCCCAUCAGGUAGACGGCGGGGUGACGGCCCACCGUGCCGACAACGGGUAGCCGGGUUGAGAGACCGACCGGCCAGAUUGGGACUGAGACACGGCCCAGACUCCUACGGGAGGCAGCAGUGGGGAAUCUUGCGCAAUGGGGGGAACCCUGACGCAGCGACGCCGCGUGCGGGACGGAGGCCUUCGGGUCGUAAACCGCUUUCAGCGGGGAAGAGUCAAGACUGUACCUGCAGAAGAAGCCCCGGCUAACUACGUG
rnacentral:rRNA from 1 species